UAAACUUGCUCCUGAUGUAAUUACCGUGAUAAAGCUCUGUGGCAUGACGGAUCAUCCUUAACUGCACUGUCGCUGUUGACUUCAGACAAGAGGAUAUUUUAUCCCAUGCUUUUGUGCUGAAUUUGAAUCAAGAAUCAUGCACCGUGUCAGAGGUGUUUGUGACAUCUGCAAUUCCCACACAAAGGAAAGAAAUCCUUUGAGGCCAGAGCUCCCAGGAAAAGAUGACUUUAAAGGGAGGCAUGACUGUGUACAAAGGAAAGCAAGAACCAAGAAACAAAUCACAGCUUCCACUGGAGAUGAGGUGCAACAGGGAAACUGAGGAAAGGAAACAUUUAGGCUGCAAAGAUGGGAAGAAUUCCUCCCAGUGAGAUUCCUUAGGUGCGGACUAGUUCCUCAAGGGAAGCACUGGAAGUCCGAGUUGCUCAGAUCAUUCAAAUUUUAACUGGACAAAGCCUAAGAGAACCAUCCUUCACUGCCUGGCCAGGAGGAAGCACAGAUGGGGCUUACCAGCCCUCUUCCAUCGCUCUAGUCUGUGAUCCUCUCCGCUCUUCUCCCUUAAGAGACCCAGCCCAAAACUCUGGUUGCCUCGGCAGCUGCUGUAGCUGCGGAUUUAUGCAGAUGCACCGAACGCCGGGGCAGGACAGGACAGCUUUCUCCAUAGCUCCCAGCACGCUUGCUCCCAUCUCGUACAUCAUAUUUCUAUUUCCAGUGUAUUUCUUCCCGCUGCAGGAAUUUAAGCCACAGAGCUUUUGAGGGGGAAAGACAGCAAGACAAAAAGGAGCCUACAAAGCAAAGCCACUGAGAUGUGAUUUUUUUUUUUUUUUUUUACUUAUCAAAGAUUUUAAAUCUAAGGCCCUUGAUGGAACUAAAGAGCCUGGCUUUAAAGAAGCAAAACUGUAUGUGAUCCGUUAACGAAGCUGAAAGCAUCACCUUGAAAGACACCAAGACAAGGACAUCCUUUAAAUUCCAACCUGACUGCAGUGGGUAUUUACUUCCCCUAACAAGCUAGUUAUCACUCCUCAGGCAGGUCAGAGGGACAUGGCUUGGGAUGACCCAGCGUGUGGGGAGGGGAAUAACUCUGUCUCCCAGACAACUCUACUGUUACUGAACAGACACUGAGGAGGAAAUGCAAAAUAAUAGUAUGUUAGCAUUAGAAAGGCAAAAGGCCCAGAGCAAAUCUGCUCUCACUAGGAUGUCCUAUUGCUCUGCCCCAGAUGAUCUCAUUGUAUGUUUCACUCAUUUCUUUAUUGCCACGUGUUUUUUAUUGAAGGGAAACCAAUAAUCUAAUACCCUGGAUAUUAACAUAAUUUCCUCUAUGUAACAUUUUUUUCCCUCCAAAGGUCUUUCUGGGUUAGUUGAGUGUAGUUAACAGACCAUUCCAGACCAGGAUUUAAGGAGCCCCCCCCCCCCCCCCCCCGUGUUAGUGUUUGAUAUUAAUCCAAAUCUGGGAACCAGAGAGCCAGAGAGAACCAAAGGACCUGUCUGUGCCCAGCAAUCUUAUAAAGAAUCCCCUUUACCUUCAUUAUAUCGGGAUCCUGUCUCUUCUCUGUCCUAACAGAUAUAACUUAGAUAAUAUUUUUACUUCAAGGUCCAAGACACCCAGGCAAGGUUUUCAUCUCGAGGCCAAAAGACCAGAAACAUCAAGACACUUGAUCACGGCCUUGGAUAGACCAAGAGACUACUUACACGUGAUCUACAAUUAGGAGUGAACUUUAGCCUUUGGAAUCUUGCUUCUGCCAAUGUCAGCAUCUGGUGCUUCAGAGGAUGGCAGUGAAAUAGGCUGACCAGAGGGCAAGUGUGAAAAAUCGGGACCUGGGGUGGGGAGUAAUAGGUGUCUAUAUAAGAAAAAGCCCCCAAAAUCGGGACAGUCCCAAUAAAAUCGGGACAUCUGGUCACCCUAAGUGAACAACUCCCAGAAUGCACCUGGAUAAUUAUGGAUGGGGAAAGAAAUGCUGUCCUCAUCUUACGUGUGGUCAGGUGAUACUCUGACACAAGUGAUUUGAUCUGUCCCUCUUGAACUGGUGCUGAUAUCUAGAGCUGGGGGUGGGCAGAGAGUUUUCCCAUCCCGCAAGAGUUUUUUUUUGAGAUUUCAAGAAAAAUUUCUGCUCCUAAAUUUGGACAAAAGGUCCAAAACGCAAAAUGUUCAUGAAUCGAUAAUACCAGGCAAUUUCCCAAAUGCUCUCACGACCCUUGUGGGAGCUGAAUAAGAGACGGAAGCAUUGCUGCCCCGGUUCAGAGUGUGAGGUCCAGGGCUGCUGCCUCCCUGUGUGCCAUGUUUUUUUUUUUAACUCUUCCUUUGCGUUUUCCAUGAAUGACAAAAAGUAUUAACAUAUCUACAGUGAGUAUCACUCACCGGAGACUAAAACAAACAGACUUGGGUUAUUAUUUCCCUACCAUUAGCCUGCCCAGUGGCUGAUGGAGUCCUGCAGCUCUGACAGUGCCUUUGGGGGGUGUUUUUAAUGUGUCAGGGACUGUCUUUUUGUUCUGUUUUUGUACAGCGCCUAGCACCAUGGAGUCCUGGUCCAGAACUAGGGCUCCCAUGUCCUUUGAUAAUACAAAUAAUAAAUAUUAAUAAUAAAAUAAUGAGACUCUGCCAUGUGACAAUGGGGAAGAGCUGAUUUCUUCUAACGCUGAACAAGAACCUUUAUUAGAGUAAGGAAAACAAUAUUAGCCCUAAACUCGCUCUCCUGGCCACUUGCUUUCCCUGCAGAGGUUCUGCCUGGAAUCUUCCCCUGCCACCUGGCCUGCCUUGCUUCCUCUUAAACCCCGAGGAAUAGAGAAAGGUAGGGAGGGGGGUUGAUAGCUGAAACAACUAGGAGAGAGAGAGUAAGGCUGAUCACAGUCACUGAGGCACAAGGGAGAAGCCGGGCGUAGCAGCCCCGCUGAUUUCCAUCACCAGCUAACCUGGAAUCUGUUAGUGGAACAAAUGCUUCUGCUGGCCAUGUUUGUUUAAAUGCUUAUAGGUACAGCGUGUGCUUAUGUAGCCGGUAAAGUUUGGCAUUCUGAUUUUGUGACUAAGACCAAAGGUGUUAACACCAAAGCAUCUGUAACUUGAUUUCUGUUUGUGCGGGUAACCGGCCUGUGCUCUGAGGUUAACAUUAAAGCACUUUUACAAAUGUGGCAGGUGACUGCUUAAUUUAAAUUAAACUAAG